CAGCCGCCGCGGGAAUACGUAGGUGGCAAGCGUUGUCCGGAAUUAUUGGGCGUAAAGGGCUCGCAGGCGGUUUCUUAAGUCUGUUGUGAAAGCCCCCGGCUCAACCGGGGAGGGUCAUUGGAAACUGGGAAACUUGAGUGCAGAAGAGGAGAGUGGAAUUCCACGUGUAGCGGUGAAAUGCGUAGAGAUGUGGAGGAGCACCAGUGGCGAAGGCGACUCUCUGGUCUGUAACUGACGCUGAGGAGCGAAAGCGUGGGGAGCGAACAGGAUUAGAUACCCGUGUAGUCCCUGUCUCUUAUAC
rnacentral:rRNA from 1 species